UGCUUCUCUGUCGGCGAGUGGCGAACGGGUGAGUAUAGCAUCGGAACGUGCCAAGUAGUGGGGGAUAACCAAGCGAAAGUUUGGCUAAUACCGCAUAAGCUCUAAGGAGGAAAGUAGGGGACCGUAAGGCCUUACGCUAUUUGAUCGGCCGAUGUCGGAUUAGCUAGUUGGUGAGGCAAUGGCUCACCAAGGCGAUGAUCCGUAGCGGGUCUGAGAGGACGAUCCGCCACACUGGGACUGAGACACGGCCCAGACUCCUACGGGAGGCAGCAGUGGGGAAUUUUGGACAAUGGGGGGAACCCUGAUCCAGCCAUGCCGCGUGUAUGAAGAAGGCCUUAGGGUUGUAAAAUACUUUUGUUAGGGAAGAAAAGCUAGUUUUUAAUAAAGACUAGUGAUGACGGUACCUAAAGAAUAAGCACCGGCUAACUACGUGCCAGCAGCCGCGGUAAUACGUAGGGUGCGAGCGUUAAUCGGAAUUAUUGGGCGUAGAGCGAGUGCAGACGGUUGUUUAAGCCAGAUGUGAAAUCCCCGAGCUUAACUUGGGACGUGCAUUUGGAACUGGAUAACUAGAGUGUGUCAGAGGGAGGUAGAAUUCCACAUGUAGCGGUGGAAUGCGUAGAGAUGUGGAGGAAUACCGAUGGCGAAGGCAGCCUCCUGGGAUAACACUGACGUUGAGGCUCGAAAGCGUGGGGAGCAAACAGGAUUAG
rnacentral:rRNA from 1 species